CGUGUAGGCGGGAAGGAAAGUCAGAUGUGAAAUCCCCAGGCUCAACCUGGGAACUGCAUUUGAAACUCCCUUUCUUGAGUACCGGAGAGGAAAGUGGAAUUCCUGGUGUAGAGGUGAAAUUCGUAGAUAUCAGGAGGAACACCAGCGGCGAAGGCGGCUUUCUGGACGGUAACUGACGCUGAGACGCGAAAGCGUGGGGAGCAAACAG
rnacentral:rRNA from 1 species